rnacentral:rRNA from 1 species
CAAUAGCGUAUAUUAAAGUUGUUGCAGUUAAAAAGCUCGUAGUUGGAUUUCUGGUGGGAGCGAUCGGUCUGGCGCUUAGCGCGAGUACUUGCAUCGUCUCCGGCCAUCCUUGGGGAGAGUCUGUCUGGCAUUAAGUUGUCGGGCAGAGGAUCCUCAUCGUUUACUGUGAAAAAAUUAGAGUGUUCAAAGCAGGCUUAUGCCGUUGAAUAUAUUAGCAUGGAAUAAUAAGAUAGGACUUUGGUACUAUUUUGUUGGUUUGCGCACCAAAGUAAUGAUUAAUAGGGACAGUUGGGGGUACUCGUAUUCCGUUGUCAGAGGUGAAAUUCUUGGAUUUACGGAAGGCGAACUACUGCGAAAGCAUUUACCAAGGAUGUUUUCAUUAA